rnacentral:rRNA from 1 species
GAUGAACGCUGGCGGCGUGCUUAACACAUGCAAGUCGAACGAUGAAGCCCAGCUUGCUGGGUGGAUUAGUGGCGAACGGGUGAGUAACACGUGAGUAACCUGCCCUUAACUCUGGGAUAAGCCUGGGAAACUGGGUCUAAUACCGGAUAGGAGCGUCCACCGCAUGGUGGGUGUUGGAAAGAUUUAUCGGUUUUGGAUGGACUCGCGGCCUAUCAGCUUGUUGGUGAGGUAAUGGCUCACCAAGGCGACGACGGGUAGCCGGCCUGAGAGGGUGACCGGCCACACUGGGACUGAGAAACGGCCCAGACUCCUACGGGAGGCAGCAGUGGGGAAUAUUGAACAAUGGGCGCAAGCCUGAUGCAGCGACGCCGCGUGAGGGAUGACGGCCUUCGGGUUGUAAACCUCUUUCAGUAGGGAAGAAGCGAAAGUGACGGUACCUGCAGAAGAAGCACCGGCUAACUACGUG